rnacentral:tRNA from 1 species
GGAUUGUGGCUCAGUGGUAGAACGCUCGCCUAGCAAGUGCAGGGCCCUGGGUUCGAUCCUCAGCACCA